rnacentral:piRNA from 1 species
UCCACUUUCAAAGGUGGUGCUGACUCAAGU